GAGUUUGAUCGUGGCUCAGAUUGAACGCUGGCGGCAUGCCUUACACAUGCAAGUCGAACGGCAGCAUGAUCUAGCUUGCUAGAUUGAUGGCGAGUGGCGAACGGGUGAGUAAUACAUCGGAACGUGCCCUGUAGUGGGGAUAACUAGUCGAAAGAUUAGCUAAUACCGCAUACGACCUGAGGGUGAAAGUGGGGGACCGCAAGGCCUCAUGCUAUAGGAGCGGCCGAUGUCUGAUUAGCUAGUUGGUGGGUAAAGGCCCACCAAGGCGACGAUCAGUAGCUGGUCUGAGAGGACGAUCAGCCACACUGGGACUGAGACACGGCCCAGACUCCUACGGGAGGCAGCAGUGGGGAAUUUGGACAAUGGGCGAAAGCCUGAUCCAGCAAUGCCGCGUGUGUGAAGAAGGCCUCGGUUGUAAG
rnacentral:rRNA from 1 species